UACGUAGGGGGCUAGCGUUGUCCGGAAUCAUUGGGCGUAAAGAGCGUGUAGGCGGUCCGGUAAGUCCGUUGUGAAAGUCAAGGGCUCAACCCUUGAAUGCCGGCGGAUACUGUCGGGCUAGAGUCCGGAAGAGGCAAGUGGAAUUCCCGGUGUAGCGGUGAAAUGCGCAGAUAUCAGGAGGAACACCCGUGGCGAAGGCGGCUCUCUGGGACGGUACUGACGCUGAGACGCGAAAGCGUGGGGAGCGAACAGG
rnacentral:rRNA from 1 species